rnacentral:tRNA from 1 species
GCCCGGGUGGCGGAAUUGGUAGACGCGCCACUUUGAGGGGGUGGUGAGAGCAAUCUCGUACGAGUUCGAGUCUCGUCUCGGGCA